AACACUGUUAACCUGCGGUACCUGCGGAAGGAUCAUUACAGAGUGUUUAACCCCCUAUAAAAUGGUGGGUCUAACCUCCCGUCCUUUGCUGGGUCCCCCUUCUGGAGGACUUUCAAAACUUUCUGCUUCGGCGGGGUAUACCCGCCGGAACACCCUCAAAAAAUUCUUGAUCAAAAUGGUUCGGUCCGAGAAACUUUUUGUGAAAAUCAGCGAAAAACUUUUAACAACGGAUCUCAGAUC
rnacentral:misc_RNA from 1 species